AUCCCCUUGUCUUUUUCCCAUUUAACCCCUUCAAAUUCAAUGUGGAUAUCAACAUUCACAAAGCUCGGCAGGUUUUUCAUUUACAAUAGUAUGAGAAUUCUAAUUCUGUAUUGUAUGAUUACAUAUUUCAUCUUAAAGCUAUGCUCACAUUAAUUUUUUGUGUCAUGUUCUUGAUAUUUAGUAGCAUUUGGGGGGCUCAAGAUAUCAAGGUGGAACUGUUACCACGAAAAGCCAUGGAUGGAUAAAGGUCUCAUGGUUAAUCUUAAUAGGGGGUUCGUCCGUAGAGAGAGUCACGCACAAAGUUUCAUGUAUAAAGAAGCACAUAUUAUUUGAAGUCCUGAUUGUAGUAAAAUUUAUAGCUUUCUUUGUUUAAUAGUUCAACAAUUCAUUGUGCUACAUUACUCCUUGCAAAUCUUAAAGUGUUUAUAUAUGUCACUCCGGAAGGAGAGUAUUCCUUCCUCUUA